AGAGUUUGAUCCUGGCUCAGAACGAACGCUGGCGGCAGGCCUAACACAUGCAAGUCGAACGCUGACUUCGGUCAGAGUGGCGCACGGGUGAGUAACACGUGGGAACCUACCUUCGGUGCGGAACAACCCAGGGAAACUUGGGCUAAUACCGCAUACGACCUUCGGGUGAAAGAUUUAUCGCCGAGGGAAGGGCCCGCGUCCGAUUAGGUAGUUGGUGAGGUAACGGCUCACCAAGCCUUCGAUCGGUACCUGGUCUGAGAGGAUGAUCAGGCACACUGGGACUGAGACACGGCCCAGACUCCUACGGGAGGCAGCAGUGGGGAAUAUUGGACAAUGGGCGAAAGCCUGAUCCAGCCAUGCCGCGUGAGUGAUGAAGGCCUUCGGGUUGUAAAGCUCUUUCACCCACGACGAUGAUGACGGUAGUGGGAGAAGAAGCCCCGGCUAACUUCGUG
rnacentral:rRNA from 1 species